GGUCUGGAACACGAAGUUUGAGGACUUUCCCUUCCACAAGAUAUCCUCUUCAAGUAGGCAACCGUCAACCAUUUCUUAUUCUUCAAUAUAUCCUUUUCAAAUGAUAUUUAUCACAUUCUGGCAGCCCUUGGAUUUGCGUUACACAUGGGAUAAUGAGUUGGAGUGUUUGGGCUCUGUCUUGUCUCAAGUAGAAAAGCAUCUUAUUUUUUCUGAAAAAGACUGUCAUUGUGUGUACUAGGCUACUAGCCAUGUCCACAAUUACUGAUGGCACAAUAAGAAGUGAAAGACCUGUGGGCCGAAAUUUAAAAACUUCGCCCCAAAAAGAAGUCAUGCAACUUUUUUUUUUUUGUGAUGCUGUGGUGGCUCUAACCAAAUAAAAAAAUUUCCUUCCUACAGGAAGAUGAUAGUAUUACAGAGACAAAAGUUGCUGCAGGACAAGUGGCUGCCAAUAGAAUAAGGCUUUUGAUUGCUGGGUCCCAAGCAUGUUCUUUAAUUGGGAUGUCUAGUCAAAACAUUGAGAAAGUGAGAAAUUCUUUUGGUGCUACAAUUACUGUUCUUGCUCAGAAUCAGAUGCCUUUGUGUGCGUCUGCUCAUGAAUCUGAUCGAGUGGUACAGGUGAGUUUGUGUACAGUGUCAAUGCUGAAUGGAACUAAAAUUAAUGCUCUCAGUGGUAUAGUAGAGUAUGUUUUAUUAUUUGGUUUUUUAAAAUUAUUUUACCUACAUAAGCUUGUCAAACAUGAGGAACGAAAACUUUUUUUGCUUGGUUUCAUUUUUCUAACUAGAUGCAUUUUCAGUGCAAUCAAUAUAUGCAAAAGCAUUCCAAGUAAACUGUUAACAAUUAGGUGAAAAUAGCUUCUCCAUCCAUUGUGUAGUCAUUUGUUGAAAGAUGUUUGAUGUGGUGUUGCAUAUCGUUAAUAUUUAAGGUGUUGAGCCAUUAAAAUACAAGACUUCCAUUUUGUUGUGCUAAUGAAGUUUAAUUCAUUUCAUCCUAUUCAUGCUUAUAUAUGCCUCUUUUGUUUCUUUCUACUGCUAAUAAUGAAUAAUGAUACGGUUUCUGUUAAACACAGAUAUCAGGUGAUGUUCCUGCAGUACUGAAGGCUUUGGAAGAGAUUGGUUCUCAACUAAGAGAAAACCACCACGACAAGUGAUUUCUAUUAGCCCAGCAUACAAUUAUACAUCAAUCAGACCACCCCAACAAUAUCUGGACCCAACUUCAGGACAACCAAUCUUGCAGCUGAUUAUGUAACCUUUGAGAUGGUGAUAUUGGAAACACUGGUUGGUGGGCUGAUUGGCAGGUGCGGCUCCAACAUAUCAAGGGUUACAAAUGAGUCUGGAGCAAUGAUAAAGGUUUAUGGUGGGAAAGGUGAACAAAAACAUAGACAAAUUCAAUUUGGCGGUUUUGCUAACAGGUAGCUUUGGCUAAACAGAGGGUUGACGAGUACAUAUAUUCCCAGUUGAUACAACAAGCCAGUGCUCAACAGCAAGCUUUGCAGAGAUGAUGAAGACGGAAUGGCAAGAUCUCUAUCCCCAUGUUCGGUAGCCAUCUUAAUUGAAGUACCGGGUAGAAUCCUGUCAGUGUUUCAUUAGUCCCCAAGUACUUCGUCAGUGUUAGUACGAAGGUAAAGAUGCUGCUGCAACGCUGUUGUACCAGACUUUGGACCGCAGGUGUUACAUCUGACCAUCUUCUUGUAUUUAAUGUUCGGCUGUGAACGGUUGUUGGGUAUCUACAUCAUUUCAUUCCAAAAUUCAGGUGGUGCAUAGGAAUCAUGUGUUUGGUUCGAUUGGCAUUGUAUUGAGGAUUUAUAUAUCAGAGUUCACAUGCAACACGGUGUGCUAGUCUUCCUGAAUGUAAAUUUUGAGUAAACAUUUAUUUAA